GACGAACGCUGGCGGCGUGCUUAACACAUGCAAGUCGAACGGAAAGGCCCUGCUUUUGUGGGGUUCUCGAUUGGCGAACGGGGGAGUAACACGUGAGUAACCUGCCCUUGACUUUCGGAUAACUUCAGGAAACUGGGGCUAAUACCGUAUAGCAGCUCCUGCUGCAUGGUGAGCAUUGGAACUUUUCGGCUGUAGGGGAUGGACUCGCGGCUUAUCAGCUUGCUGGUUGGGUAGUUGCUUACCAAGGCUUUGACGGGUACCCGACAUGAGAGGGUGACCGGGGACAUUGGGCCUGCGAGAGGGAGCAGACUCGAACGGGAGGCAGCAGUCGGGAAUCUUGCACAGUGGGAGGACGCGUGAUGAAGAGACGUCGCGUGCGUGAUGACGGCCUUCGGGUUGUAAACAGCUUUCGCCUGUGACGCAGCGUGAGUGACGGUAACGGGUAAAGAAGCACCGGCUAACUACGUG
rnacentral:rRNA from 1 species